UACUCUUUCAUUACUAGACUAUACUGGGAUACAAUAAGUACCUAGAAAGGCUGCCUUCUGAACUGUCACUCUGAUGUGACAGUUCUGGGAAAAUGUCCCAAUUCUGAGUCCAGAGAAUUGCCCUAGUUGCUGAAAUGACAAAUGGCUUCUCUUCACUAUCUAUCAGUUUCCACAUUGGCUUCAGCUGCUCUUCCAGGGCCCAACAACUGCUUAUUUCAUCAUUAUUAUCAUUGCUAUCUUUCAAGGGAGGAGUUUAAAGUCAGAAGAAAAGUAUUCUCCCUUGGGACCAAUGAUGCCAGAUAAAACAGUACUCCUACAUGAUGAUUAUUAUCCAAAGAAAUCUCUGACAAUGGCAAAGGACAACCAGCAACAAGCACAAUCAUCUGGAGGUCUCCAGCCAGCCCAGCUGAAAACAGCAGCAGCGACGGCAGCGGCGGCUGCGGCGGAGGAGGAGGAGGAGGCGGCGGCGGCGACGGCGGCAGCAGCAGCAGCAGCAGGGGCAGUAGCAGUAGAAGUAGGGGCAGCAGCUGGGGCAGCGGCGGCGGCGGCGGCAGCAGCAGCAGCAGCCAGUUCUGAACUUUCCAUAGCGCUGGGCCCCGACGAGUGGUUAGCCCAGGAAAGCCUCAAAUUAUACAAUUUAUGA
rnacentral:lncRNA from 1 species